GGAGGAAUACCCAAGUCCGGCUGAAGGGAUCGGUCUUGAAAACCGACAUGGGCUUAACGGCUCGCGGGGGUUCGAAUCCCUCUUCCUCCGCCA
rnacentral:tRNA from 1 species